rnacentral:rRNA from 1 species
ACUUUCAGCAACGGAUCUCUUGGCUCUCGCAUCGAUGAAGAACGCAGCGAANUGCGAUAAGUAAUGUGAAUUGCAGAUUUUCCGUGAAUCAUNGAAUCUUUGAACGCACCUUGCGCUCCUUGGUAUUCCGAGGAGCAUGCCUGUUUGAGUGUCAUUA